AUGCGCGUGUGUGACCAUGUUCAUCAAACCCCACUGCUUUGUUUUGGAGGAGUGACUGCGACUGUGACACGGUUGAAUCCUUUGUUGUGAAAACGCAAACGGCGACGCGUGUGUACUCGUGUGUGCGUGUUGUGUGUCUUCGGGGCGUGUGUGGGAUAAGAACGAGUGAAAGUAUGUCGAAAAGAGCGAAGAAAAAUGAGCAGGAUGCUGGAGAUGGUGACCAUGACAACGGCACAGCUCCCGCUGCCAAGAAAGGAAAGAAG